UAUAAGGGAUUUUGAGUUUUUACUUGUAACGUUUGACCACUCGUCUUAUUUAAAUUUUUUUUACAAAUAUAAAAAACGAAAAGUUGUGCUUAAAGUAUUGUAGAUAAUAAAGUAAGUCACAGAUAAAAUAAAUAAUAAUUUUAAAAAAUUUUGAAUAAGACGAGUGGUCAAACGUUGCAAGCAAAAACUUAAAAUCCCUUAUA
rnacentral:pre_miRNA from 1 species